GAUGAACGCUGGCGGCGUGCCUAAUACAUGCAAGUCGAGCGAACGGACGAGAAGCUUGCUUUUCUGAUGUUAGCGGCGGACGGGUGAGUAACACGUGGAUAACCUACCUAUAAGACUGGGUUAACUUCGGGAAACCGGAGCUAAUACCGGAUAAUAUUUUGAACCGCAUGGUUCAAAAGUGAAAGACGGUCUUGCUGUCACUUAUAGAUGGAUCCGCGCUGCAUUAGCUAGUUGGUAAGGUAACGGCUUACCAAGGCAACGAUGCAUAGCCGACCUGAGAGGGUGAUCGGCCACACUGGAACUGAGACACGGUCCAGACUCCUACGGGAGGCAGCAGUAGGGAAUCUUCCGCAAUGGGCGAAAGCCUGACGGAGCAACGCCGCGUGAGUGAUGAAGGUCUUCGGAUCGUAAAACUCUGUUAUUAGGGAAGAACAUAUGUGUAAGUAACUGUGCACAUCUUGACGGUACCUAAGCAGAAAGCCACGGCUAACUACGU
rnacentral:rRNA from 1 species